rnacentral:lncRNA from 1 species
CGCGGCGCGGGCCCGGGGGAGGCCGUGAGGGGGGGAGGCGCGGCAGUGGAGCACAACAGCUGCCUAUGCCUAGCACGGUCUGAUUUUUUUGACUUGGGGGUGGUGGUGGAGGAUUGGGGGGAAGGAUGAGAAACAAGAGGUUGAGAGCGUGGGUUGGGGGAGGGGCGAGAUGAGGAGAUGGGCUCCGGGGUCCCCCACGCACGGCCACCCCUCCCAGCCACCAUCUGGCGCGAGCGGGUUGGCGUGGGGAACCGAGGUGGGGCGGGGGGGAGGAGGUGUGCCCCUCUUGGCCCCCUCCCUUGGUGGUGGUGGGGGCCAGAUAACUCCCUUGGGGCCCCCUCACCUUUUGUUUCCCUGGCGCCAGGGGGGGCAGCGCCAAGGGCAGCCUGGAGCCUGAUAGCCCCGAGCCCCCUCCCAACAAAUGGUGUUGAUGAGGGCCCAGCCUACAACUUGAGCCCUGAGGUGGGGGAAGAGAGGAAUGCGAGCAGUGGUGGUCCUGGGGGAAUGAGCUCACACCCAUGCCGGCCAUGCUUGGAACCCUGCGCCCUCCCUGCCCGGGCUGGUGCCCUUGGCCCGUCUGCCUUAGGGACAGGAGAAGGGAGGGCCGUCCAGCGGGAAAGCCAGGCCUCAGACACUGGGCCAUCACACCCUCCGAUGGCCACUCCCCGUGGAGCUGUUUCGGAAGAGAGCCAGUGGUUUCGGGAAGCCAGUCGACAGCGCCCCCUCGUGCCGGCUGACGACUUGGCCAGGCAGCCCCCCAGAGCCCUCUCAAGGGCGCGCCUCAGGAAGCACCUGCUCCCCAGGACCAGUGACCGCCCUGAGUCUCCCCCAGGUGGCUUCCUUGUUUACAGGCCUCCUGCCCUGUUCUCGGCGUCACUGCCUGUGGCCACUCCUCCUAUUUCCAGUGACAGCUCCAGGAGCAGCUCAUUCAUCUUGGUCUCUGCCCACACAGCUGCUCCCCCACCACACCCCCUUCUGGCUCUCCCCAGGCUUAGGGCCAAGGCCCUGAGGGCCUUCUCUCUCCCCUCCAUUCCAGGCCUUGCUUGGUUUCCAAGGAUCUAA